rnacentral:rRNA from 1 species
UGGGGAAUAUUGCACAAUGGAGGGAACUCUGAUGCAGCGACGCCGCGUGAACGAAGAAGGCUUUCGAGUCUUAAAGUUCUUUUAUAUGGGAAGAUAAUGACGGUACCAUAAGAAAAAGCCCCGGCUAACUACGUGCCAGCAGCCGCGGUAAUACGUAGGGGGCUAGCGUUGUCCGGAAUCACUGGGCGUAAAGGGUUCGCAGGCGGAAAUGCAAGUCAGGUGUAAAAGGCAGUAGCUUAACUACUGUAAGCAUUUGAAACUGCAUAUCUUGAGAAGAGUAGAGGUAAGUGGAAUUUUUAGUGUAGCGGUGAAAUGCGUAGAUAUUAAAAAGAAUACCGGUGGCGAAGGCGACUUACUGGGCUCAUUCUGACGCUGAGGAACGAAAGCGUGGGUAGCAAACAGG